CAUAUACAGUGUAGAUUAAUUUUCAAGAUGAUCUGACCUUAACCUAGUCCUUCAGCAAUUCCAUAGUCCACUCAUCGCUACUGUAAGCACCACCUUGCUGCCAGAGAAUGCAUAAUGUGUCCAAAGUAGGAUAACUUAUACUACAAUAACUAGAAUUUCAAAGUGCUCUACCAACAUUUUUUUGUUUCGUUUAUUUUUGUUUUCAGAUUUCGCUUUUCUUGGUUGCAUUUGAAAUCCCAAGCCAUUGGUGUAGACAGCCAAAUCCACGAUGCAUGAUACGAUAGAUAUGAUAUUUUUUUCUGGUAUAUUCAACAACUGGGUCAGCCCAGCUUCUUCAGCCUGGCACCUUCUAGAUGUUUUCAGUUUCGACUUAGAGUAGACACAAGCAAUAUGAAGAAAGGCAUCAGCCACCCAGAGUCCAUUGAAGAAGUCAUCAUAAAUGUAAACAAUAAGGAAGCUAAAGAAACAAUGGACCACCGAGUUUGCUGCUGCAAGCAAAUUGCAAAGACUGAUUACAAACAACGGCUUCACAAAGUACCGUGGUAACAAUGUGUUGGAAUACCUGCAAGAAAUAGUGUUUGCCUGCAAGCCAAAAGUGUUGGGACCAUAAAAUAGACAAAGUAAUAGAAAAUGAAAAGGCUAAGAUGCUCUGGGACAUUAAGAUUAGCAGAGUUUAUUGGAAGAAAAACUUGUGUAAGUCCUGAGGAAGGUUAAGGAGAGGAUAGGAAGCAGGCUAUUUUGGAAAUAGGGUUUCUUGGCUGGAAUCCUUAACAUCUCCUAUCCAAUUGUUGUUUUACAUGUUUUAUGAUACACCGUAUUGGAAAAAUAAAACUUUAUGAUUCAGCCAAA